UUUGAUAAAUAACUUUUACAAUUCAUUUUUUUAAAACACCACAUGAAGAUGAAACACUGACACACCAUACGAACCGUGAGUCUGUGACUGCCCCUGCAAAUCGAAAUCCAGACCACCAACCGUAUUCGGCGGCGACGCCCUCCUGCACCAUCUUAGCUUCCGCUCACUUUCAGUGAGAGCUAGACUCUGGCUUAUAAAGCCAAUGGCUUGUUAGAGAAAGAUAUUAUCGAUGUUUCUGGAGUAGAGCUAAGGGUAUCUUGUCCUGAGCAAGCAGAGUGGUAAAUUAACACUGAAGAAUGAUGCCAUCGAAGCUCUUGUAGACACAAGGACACUGAAGAAUGAUUGAUGCCAUCGAAGUUCUGUGAACUAUAAUGUGAUGACAGAUGAGAAGGUUGUGUUGAAGUUUCUAGUGCAGAGCUGUGUAUAUUGUUUUAAAAGAGUGGUAAAUGAUCAACACUGAAGAAUGAUGCCAUGGAAGCUCUUGUAGACACAUGUUUGACCUAUAAUGUGAUGACAGAUGAGAAGGUUGUGUUGAAAUUUCUGUUGUAGAGCUAUGUGUAUAUUCUAUUAAACAGGUAAGCCUGCCACCACUUGCGGAAGGUCCAACACUGUGCAUUUUAACAUAGGAAAUGUCUCACAAAUGAUUGUAGCUGUGUUUCCGGUUCCGCCUCCAACAUCAACCAGAGAACCUAAGCCUUCAAAAACAAACUUGCAAUCACUCAGUGCCAAUCUCAUCACAUGAGAAUCACUUUCCAUAGCCUCGUUGAAGGACUUCAAAUGUGUGGGAUUCUGAUGCAUAAAAUCCCAAUAGUCACCUUUGCUGGAUGCAGUCUCAAAGAUUGUGAGCUCAUCCCCAGAAGUCCAUUUACCCAAAUGAUUAUACAAAUCAACAAGAUUUGGAUUUGUUAUCAGCUGAACCAUUGAAGAUAAACAAUGGUCAGUGCCUUUGACAAGCAGCUCUGAUGGUGGGGCAAGAGCAUACGCUUCUUUCCCUUCCAUUUCCACAAUUAUAAAGAAGUUAUUGUGUGCCAAUAAACGCAUUAGACUUUGAACACAAGCGGCUUUUGCUUCGGGAAUUCGAAGAGCCGAGAGAAGUUGGGGAAGAGUAAUGGGUUGGCCAUGAUUGUGGAUGAUAUCUGGUAUACCAAGUUCAACAACCCACUUGAUGGACAUUGGUUUCAAGAAGCUAAGAAUGUGAUUGUACAAGUGAGCUUGAGCUUGAAAGAGCUCACUUGCUUUGAACCCAUUCUCAGAACCCAUGAUAUAAUAUUACUGGAUUUAAUAUUUGAGUUUGUGUGGUUUAUGGAGUGGUUAAGUUUGCUUGAUAGUUGUGAUUUGUGAAUGUUAUGUUUUCACUUGGUAAGUUUAGUAUGCUUUUAUAAGCAUCAAUGGACACUACAAACUGAAUAAAAUAUGUAUCUUUUGUUUUGACGUAGUAUUUAAUAAAACUACAGUGUACACGUACGUGUAAAACCUUUUCGCUGCAUUCGUUUGA